UCACAAUUCCCAAAUCCUUGCACUAGGUGGGGCCAGCCUCCUGUUGUGUAGACUCAUCAACUAUACCAGUCCUCUGUUCCUGGUCUCUGGAGCUUCAAUUUGGGAAAGUGACCCAUUAGCUUCUGAGGACCAGGGUGAGAGAGGGCAAACUUGAAUGCCCUUCACAAUGGAGAGAUGUGUGCAGACCGGACAGACAUCAGUUCCUUUAUCAGUGCACAGGUAGCUGCAAUAAACUGCUUGCCUCCAAAUCCUUGUCUCAGGCCUGCAUGUGGAGAGAUAAAACCCAGACAAAGAGGCAGACAUGAGCAGAUGAGCUCCCCCGAACAGGAGACAAGUGGGCUGAGAGGUGAAGGAAGAGGAUGAGGGCAGCCACGAACGCUCAAUGAGACAUGACAAGUCAAGUGUGGAGCCCAGGCCCUUCACCCAGAGGAGCUCAAAAAAUAUUAGCAGCCGUUACCAUUGGAGCCUCUGCCUCCUAAACCUGCCUCAAUAUCUAUGGAGGGUGGGAGCAGAGUCACUUUUCCUCACUGGACCUCAGUUUACUCCUCAGAAAGACAGCAGUGAUGAUGCCCUCUCAAGAUAUCCUCUAACUCCAGCUCCAGCAGCCUAAGGGCUAUCCUCUGAAGCAGAGUCACAGAGCCGAGUGUAGCAAGAAAAGGCUCGGUGAUGCCUGGGGAGGCGACGCCGGCAGUCAGAAGAAUCCAAAGGAGCCUUGACAGCGUCACUGCAGACAAACCUGUCUCCACUGACUGCCCUACUCAGACUCUGCCUGUCUGUGGUGGCCCACUCUCCUCGGGGUGGAUCGGCCUAAGAGUUUCAUUAAAAUCAAGGGGACGGGGAUUGUGGGUAGUGUUGGGACCCAGUAAAGCCCUGGGCUUAAUGGAUCAGAACCAAAACCCCAGCUCCACAUGGGCAGCCCUCAGUUUUCAUGGGUCAGCCCUUUCUGAGAAACCCAGCCAGGGAGGAGCACAGGACCAGCAGCAGGGGAUGCUUCUAAACCCAUAUCUCACUGGAUAAGCUCAUCACCUUCCAAGCCUCUGAAGAACAUUUACGUUCCUAUAAGUUUCUGAAGCCACGUUCAAAUCGUAGCUCUACCACCAAUGAGCUGCACGUUGGAGGGGAAGUGAAUUCACCCCAGACCUGAGUUCCACAUCCCUAGACUGGGUGAGAGGGCCUCUGCCCAGGCUCUCCAUGAGGAUGACCUGCACCGUGUGCCUUUAAUGCACUUAGAACAGCAGGUGCCUCAGUAAACGCUCACUGCCAUUCUGCGAUCAUUAUUGCAUUCACUUCCUGGGGCUGCUGCAACAAAGUACCACACCCUGGGGGCGAAAACAACAGACCCUGACCGUGCCGAUGCUGGAAGUCUGAGAUCAAGGUGUGGGCAGGGCUGGUUCCUUCCGAGGACUGUGAGGAAGACUGUUCCACGCCUCUCUGCAGCUCCGGGUGGUUUGCAGGCAACCUUUCCAUUGCUGGCUUUGCAGACACAUCACCCAGUCUCUGCCCUCAUGUUCACAUGGCUCUCUCCCUGUGUGUGUGUGUCUGCGUCCCAGCCUCCCCUGUUUAUAAGGACAUAGUGGCAUUACAUGACUACUAUUACUCUGAUAGGGCCUCAUCUUAACUAACUACAUCUGCAAAUAACCCAUUGCCACAUAAGGUAGCAUUCUGAAGUACUAGGGGCUAGGACAUCAACAUAGGAAUUUGGGGAGCACAUAAUUCAACCCAUGAUAAUGAUUAUCGUGAUUAUUAUUAAGAAUAUAUAACCACUGUAGGAUGAAAGCAAAUACUGUAAAAUCCUACUCAUAGGUUUGCAGGGAUUAAAUGGCAUCACUGGAAAAUUGUCUGACACAAAGAAGGGGUUCAACAAAUGUUGUUUUACUUCCUCACUGUCAGCCUAAAUAUAGAAAGUAUUUGCUCAUUGGCCCGACAGACAAGUUUUGACUUCUAGUUUUAUACCAGCUUUAUGUAUACAUGCUUAUAUGUCGUAUGUGACAUUUUGUACAUAUAAACAUUAGUUCUGCCUUCUAAUGCUAUUUUGAAAUCACCUUUCCCUUGUUAAAGUGUUCUUUUGAAAUUAUAUAAAAUAGCUGAAUAGUAUUUUAAAGCCAAAAUGCUACAAUUUACUUGCCAUGUUUUAUAAUUUGCUUACAUUCAGAUGGUGUACCAUCUUGUGUUCUGUUAUGAAAUAGCACAACCAUGCAUAAAUGACCCUGCCAUCCUACCCCUAGAACUUUAUUUACCAUGAAAUGCCUCCACGUACUUUCAUUUGCAUGUCUUGAGAACUGAACCGUAGACCCCUCUUCCCUGUCAGUGUUGACCAUCGAUAUUUCCUCCCACAUGUGGCUUCUGUUUCUGUCUCUGGGCAGAUUUAUUCUAACCUGCCCUCAAAUCUGUAAGAAGAUUGUUCAUUCCCUAGGGCUAGUCCAAGUCUCCUGGCCUGGUGCUUACUUCAAAUUCACCUAAAUCUGGCAUAAAAGCUUUCAGGACAAGGUGGAUCAAACUGCGCCCUUGUGUGAGUACUCCCUGGACAGAAUGUCUGGUUAUCUUCGGUGUAAGUUAUUUCCCAUGACUCACAAAUAGAAAUCAGGAGAGGAGGGAGGUAGGAGGUGCAAGCCUCUGCAGCUGUCUGGAGAGUCAGCAAAAGGGAGACAGAAUCUUUAGUUACUUCACAUGUGUGACAAUACGCCUAUGUUUUGUUUUAUGUUGUUUAUUUCUUAUGUAACAUUGUUGAGUUAUCAAAUGAAGUGGUGUAUAAAAAUGUCAAAUAAACAGGUUCUCUCCCUUGGAUACCUCUGCCUCCGAGAAAAUGAGACUGGGUUGUCCUGCUGAAGGAAAAGAGUCACAUGACUAUUGCUCAGAUAACAUCAAGCUAACCACCAGGCAUGUGAGUGAGACUGUCUAAGAUAACCCAGUUUCAGCUGAGCUGAUCCAGAGCAGAAAAGCUGUCCAGGAACCAAGGAACCUGACAGAUAAGUAAUUUUUCUUACUUUAAAUCUUUAUAUUUGAAUUGGUCUCUUAUCCAGCAAAAA
rnacentral:lncRNA from 1 species